GUAGCGCAAUGGUUAGCGCGUAGGACUCGUAAUCCAAAGGUCGUGGGUUUGAAUUCUACUUGGCCU